UACGUAGGGUGCAAGCGUUGUCCGGAAUUAUUGGGCGUAAAGAGCUCGUAGGCGGUCUGUCGCGUCGGCUGUGAAACCUCCAGGCUCAACCUGGAGCCGCCACCUGAUACUGGUAUGGCUAGAGUCCGGCAGGGGACCACGGAAUUCCUGGUGUAGCGGUGAAAUGCGCAGAUAUCAGGAGGAACACCGGUGGCGAAGGCGGUGGCCUGGGCCGGCACUGACGCUGAGGAGCGAAAGCGUGGGGAGCAAACAGG
rnacentral:rRNA from 1 species